UCUACUAGCCGUUGGGGCCUUUGAGGCUUUAGUGGCGCAGCUAACGCGAUAAGUAGACCGCCUGGGGAGUACGGUCGCAAGACUAAAACUCAAAUGAAUUGACGGGGGCCCGCACAAGCGGUGGAGCAUGUGGUUUAAUUCGAUGCAACGCGAAGAACCUUACCUGGCCUUGACAUACUAAGAACUUUCCAGAGAUGGAUUGGUGCCUUCGGGAACUUAGAUACAGGUGCUGCAUGGCUGUCGUCAGCUCGUGUCGUGAGAUGUUGGGUUAAGUCCCGCAACGAGCGCAACCCUUUUCCUUAUUUGCCAGCGGGUUAUGCCGGGAACUUUAAGGAUACUGCCAGUGACAAACUGGAGGAAGGCGGGGACGACGUCAAGUCAUCAUGGCCCUUACGGCCAGGGCUACACACGUGCUACAAUGGUCGGUACAAAGGGUUGCUACCUCGCGAGAGGAUGCUAAUCUCAAAAAGCCGAUCGUAGUCCGGAUCGCAGUCUGCAACUCGACUGCGUGAAGUCGGAAUCGCUAGUAAUCGCGGAUCAGAAUGCCGCGGUGAAUACGUUCCCGGGCCUUGUACACACCGCCCGUCACACCAUGGGAGUUUGUGCACCAGAAGUAGGUAGUCUAACCGUAAGGAGGACGCUACCACGGG
rnacentral:rRNA from 1 species